rnacentral:rRNA from 1 species
UGCCUUUUGUAGAAUGAGCCGGCGAGUCACGAUCAGCAGGCGAGGUUAAGCAGGAGAUGCGGAGCCGCAGCGAAAGCGAGUCUUAACAGGGCGGAAUAGUCUGAGGUCGUGGACCCGAAACCGGGUGAUCUAGCCAUGAGCAGGUUGAAGUCGGGGUAAGACCCGAUGGAGGACCGAACCGACCCCCGUUGAAACGUUGGCGGAUGACUUGUGGCUAGGGGUGAAAUUCCAAUCGAACCCGGAGAUAGCUGGUUCUCCCCGAAAUAGCUUUAGGGCUAGCGUCGCAGCGAGAGAGCCGUGAAGGUAGAGCACUGAAUAUGCGAUGGCCGCAUCCCGCGGUACUGAGCAUAA